rnacentral:lncRNA from 1 species
AGAUAGAUGAUCAGAAGUAGCUAUUUCUACAGCUGAGCUAUAUGUGCUCAGCUGUAUCAGAUCCAGAAGCAGGUGCGAGCACUGAAUCAAAUAAAUAAAGCCAUUGCCUUCUGAGAAUCUUCAAUCUUUAAAAAAAAAAAAAAAAAAAAUCAAGCUUAAUGUUUGAGUGCUCCUUGCUUUGUUUCCUCCUGUUCUUUUUCCUCUCUCCAGCCUUGAUGUCUGAUGUUUCCCUCCAAGCACUGGGCUGAGGAUCCCCUACAAGCAGAUCUUCACAGUGAUUGCUUUUUUCCCUGAUUGCUAAUGCUGUUUCCAGGGGCUGAUCUAAGCUGGGUACCCUUCUCAUCAAUGCCCACAUCUGGGUGUUAUCAAGCACUUCUCAGAUGCCAGUGUGUAUGCCAGCUUCUCUGCAUCUCACUUCCAGCUCCUCUUUUCCAGGUACACGAAGGAAGUGGCAAUGUUAGACUAGCGGCUGCAGAGCUCGACUGGUGACUACUGUGGAUGCAGAGCCUCCAACUGAUACAAAUUCUUCCUUAGGUAAGAGAUGUCUGAGGUCAGAGUGGUGAAGAAUAUCCAAGGUUAUUGAUUUUCAAGUGCUGCUUUCU